UACAGCUUCUCUGUCUGUCUGUCUGUCUUCAUAGGUACAGCUUCUCUGUCUGUCUGUCUGUCUGUCUUCAUAGGUACAGCUUCUCUGUCUGUCUUCAUAGGUACAGCUUCUGUCUGUCUGUCUUCAUAGGUACAGCUUCUGUCUGUCUGUCUUCAUAGGUACAGCUUCUCUGUCUGUCUGUCUUCAUUAGUACAGCUUCUCUGUCUGUCUGUCUUCAUUAGGUACAGCUUCUCUGUCUGACUGUCUUCAUUAGGUACAGCUUCUCUGUCUGACUGUCUUCAUUAGGUACAGCUUCUCUGUCUGACUGUCUUCAUUAGGUACAGCUUCUCUGUCUGACUGUCUUCAUAGGUACAGCUUCUCUGUCUGACUGUCUUCAUAGGUACAGCUUCUCUGUCUGUCUGUCUUCAUAGGUACAGCUUCUCUGUCUGUCUGUCUUCAU